rnacentral:snoRNA from 1 species
CUGCAGUGAUGCGUUGCUUAGGACACCUUUGGAUUUACCAUGAAAACGAAUCAGUUCUGAGCAGU